GACGAACGCUGGCGGCGCGCUUAACACAUGCAAGUCGAACGGAAAGGCCUGCUUUCCCUUGUGGAUUGCGGGUACUCGAGUGGCGAACGGGUGAGUAACACGUGAGUGAUCUGCCCCCAACCUGGGUAUAAGCCUGGGAAACUGGGUCUAAUUCCCGAUAGGACUGCAGGGUGGUGCCUGUGGUGGAAAACGAUUUUCUAGUGGUUGGGGAUGAGCUCGCGGCCUAUCAGCUUGUUGGUGGGGUAAUGGCCUACCAAGGCGGCGACGGGUAGCCGGCCUGGGAGGGUGGACGGCCACAUUGGGACUGAGAUACGGCCCAGACUCCUACGGGAGGCAGCAGUGGGGAAUAUUGCACAAUGGGCGGAAGCCUGAUGCAGCGACGCCGCGUGGGGGAUGACGGCCUUCGGGUUGUAAACUCCUUUCGACCGCGAGGAAGCCACCUGGUUGGAAGGGUGGUGACGGUAGUGGUAGAAGAAGCACCGGCUAACUACGUG
rnacentral:rRNA from 1 species